rnacentral:rRNA from 1 species
UUAGGGAUUUUUAGUUGUUGCAGUUAAAAGCUCGUAGUUGGAUUUCGGGUGGGUUCUAGCGGUCCGCCUUUGGUGAGUACUGCUAUGGCCUUCCUUUCUGUCGGGGACGGGCUUCUGGGCUUCACUGUCCGGGACUCGGAGUCGACGUGGUUACUUUGAGUAAAUUAGAGUGUUCAAAGCAGGCUUACGCCCUGAAUACUUUAGCAUGGAAUAACACGAUAGGACUCUGGCCUAUCUUGUUGGUCUGUAGGACCGGAGUAAUGAUUAAAAGGGACAGUCGGGGGCAUUCGUAUUUCAUUGUCAAAGGUGAAAUUCUUGGAUUUAUGAAAGACAAACUACUGCGAAAGCAUUUGCCAAGGAUGUUUUCAUUAAUCAAGAACGAAAGUUGGGGGCUCGAAAACAAUUAGAUACCGUCGUAGUCUCAACCAUAAACGAUGCCGACUAGGGAUUGGCGAAUGUUUUUUUUAUGACUUCGCCAGCACCUUAUGAGAAAUCAAAGUUUUUGGGUUCCGGGGGGAGUAUGGUCGCAAGGCUGAAACUUAAAGGAAUUGACGGAAGGGCACCACCAGGCGUGGAGCCUGCGGCUUAAUUUGACUCACCACGGGAAAACUUACCAGGUCCAGACAUAGUGAGGAUUGACAGAUUGAGAGCUCUUUCUUGAUUCUAUGGGUGGUGGUGCAUGGCCGUUCUUAGUUGGUGGGUUGCCUUGUCAGGUUGAUUCCGGUAACGAACGAGACCUCAGCCUGCUAAAUAGUCUCAGUUGCUUUUUGCAGCUGGCUGACUUCUUAGAGGGACUAUUGGCGUUUAGUCAAUGGAAGUAUGAGGCAAUAACAGGUCUGUGAUGCCCUUAGAUGUUCUGGGCCCGCACGCGCGCUACACUGAUGCAUUCAACAAGCCUAUCCUUGACCGAAAGGUCCGGGUAAUCCUUUGAAAACUGCAUCGUGAUGGGGAAUAGAAUAUUGGCAAUUAUUAGUCUUUCACCGAAGGAAUGCCUUAGUAGGCCGCCAAGGUCAUCAGCUUGCGUUGA